rfam:Cyanophage S-RIM32 isolate RW_108_0702, complete genome.
GCCCGCUUAACUCAGCGGUAGAGUGUCUCCUUUACACGGAGGGUGUCGGCGGUUCGAAUCCGUCAGCGGGCA